AGUCCCCUGUAGCAUAUGAACCAUAUCCUGUGGUUGGUUUUCCUUUUACCACCACAUUUGCAUGCUAGAAGCUGGUUUCUUUGUAAUAGGAAAGAGUCGUAUAGCCUUUAACCUUCUUUCACAACGAAGUUGGCAGGGCAGGGAAGCUUUGAAAGUGACAACACCAUCUUUAAAAUCCUCCAAAGAGGGUUUUUUUUGGUGGGGGGUUUUACUACGUUCAUUCUUCAUCUGGAACGAUGUGGCUGUGGUCUGUGCUCAUAAUCAUCAUUUCACUUUUAACAAGAAGCAGAGGACAGUCAGUGGACCAAACAUCUGGCAUUGUGGCUGCUACUGAAGGACAACCUGUCGUUCUCUAUUGUUCCUAUGAAGCACAGACUAUUGGCUCAUAUUACCCAUACUGGUACAUUCAGUAUCCUGGUCAACCUCUGAAAUUUCUUUUGGGAUCAUAUGAGAACAAUGCACCGGGCUUCCAGGCUACUCACCAUAAAGACAAGAAAAAUGGGACUUUCAAUUUGCAGAAAGAUUCCAGUCAACUGAAGGACUCUGCUGCCUACUUCUGUGCCUUCGGUGACACAGUGUGACAAAGCAGAGGAGAAGCCAACAGAAAAAGUACAACAGUGAAGCUGAGCUCAGAAAUAAAAGCUCCCAUGAAUAUAGUUGGAUUUGCAUCCAGAUCAACUCUGCAAUGGAACUGGGAUGUAGAAAAAUCACAUUACCCCUUCAGGAUAUCUUGCCCUAGAGGUUCCUCAGCAUCUGAAAUAAAAAAAAAUGACCAUUUGGGAUGGGAUAAGAGAAAAUGUUAUCCAACUAUCUGGAAUCACUUAUCUCCAUAGUCACGGACAGAAUCCUUUCAUGCCAUUUAGAUGAUAGCAUUGUGAGUUGUCCAUCUGGAAGCACUUUGAAUAUCAGGAUUCCUCUUUCCAUUUUAAUCUUUCUGGACUCACAUUUUGUAUCAUGUAGAUCUCUCUUUCUCUCUCCCUCUCCCUCCCUCUCACAUCUAUUUAUCUUUCCAUUUUCCUCUCCAUUCAGUUGGCCAAUAAUAUAUUUAUCAAGCUGUGAAGAAUGCUCAUGUUGUUUCGGCCAUUAUUGCUUCUUAGCUUACCUUCGGACUUAGGGGGGUAGGGGGGAGGAGUGGAGUGUGGAUUUCAGGUGCCAAAAGGCCAGGCCAUAAGAACCAAGGUCAACCAAAUGCUGUUUACAAAGAACUGACUUUCUCUCAUAAUAACUGUCUGGAGCUUAAUUGGACAACGUGACCUGCACUAUCAGGGAAACGGGAGUUUCUAUACUUUUAAUAAGCUGAGUUUGUUGCCAUAUAUGUAAAAGCUAGCUUUCCUUUCAUCCGUGCCAAAGAGAUGUACUCAAUAAAGUUUUGCAUUGGAGAUUG